UGCAGUCGAACGAACUCUUCGGAAGUUAGUGGCGGACGGGUGAGUAACACGUGGGAACGUGCCUUUUGGUUCGGAAUAACUCAGGGAAACUUGUGCUAAUACCGAAUGUGCCCUUCGGGGGAAAGAUUUAUCGCCAUUAGAGCGGCCCGCGUCUGAUUAGCUAGUUGGUGAGGUAAAGGCUCACCAAGGCGACGAUCAGUAGCUGGUCUGAGAGGAUGAUCAGCCACAUUGGGACUGAGACACGGCCCAAACUCCUACGGGAGGCAGCAGUGGGGAAUCUUGCGCAAUGGGCGAAAGCCUGACGCAGCCAUGCCGCGUGAAUGAUGAAGGUCUUAGGAUUGUAAAAUUCUUUCACCGGGGACGAUAAUGACGGUACCCGGAGAAGAAGCCCCGGCUAACUUCGUGCCAGCAGCCGCGGUAAUACGAAGGGGGCUAGCGUUGCUCGGAAUUACUGGGCGUAAAGGGAGCGUAGGCGGACAUUUAAGUCAGGGGUGAAAUCCCGGGGCUCAACCUCGGAAUUGCCUUUGAUACUGGGUGUCUUGAGUAUGAGAGAGGUAUGUGGAACUCCGAGUGUAGAGGUGAAAUUCGUAGAUAUUCGGAAGAACACCAGUGGCGAAGGCGACAUACUGGCUCAUUACUGACGCUGAGGCUCGAAAGCGU
rnacentral:rRNA from 1 species